UACGUAGGUGGCAAGCGUUAUCCGGAAUUACUGGGCGUAAAGCGCACGCAGGCGGUCUUUUAAGUUUGACGUGAAAGCUCCCGGCUCAACUGGGAGAGGUCGUUGAAUACUGGAAGGCUUGAGGCAAUGAGAGGGGUGUAGAAUUCCCGGUGUAGUGGUGGAAUGCGUAGAUAUCGGGGGGAAUACCAGUGGCGAAAGCGGCACCCUAGCAUUAGCCUGACGCUCAUGUGCGAAAGCGUGGGGAGCGAACGGGAUUAGAAACCCCCGUAGUCC
rnacentral:rRNA from 1 species